AUAGUAGGCCCUGAUCCAUAGACUUAUAUAUAAAUAGACCCAGCGUUCUGUGAGAGGAGUUGUCCGCGUCUUCUAAAGGACGGAACGAUAUGCAUCCAGGUGCUGUCUCCGUCGCUCCGCCGUUCUGGAGGGGGAACGUCGAUGGAUAACGUUGAAGGAAAGCGAACUUAAAGGCGCGUGUACCGCACUUAUAUGUGUAAUAGGGUUAGGUUAGGUUACACGGAAAAAGACACAGAAAAUGUCUCAGUGUUGCAUUUGCAAAUCGCAUUGUGGCUCCCAUGCAGAUAUUACAUUUCAUACCAUACCACGGUCAGAAGAAUUUCGAGCAAAACACAUAUAAGUGCGGUACACGCGCCUUUAAGUUCGCUUUCCUUCAACGUUAUCCAUCGACGUUCCCCCUCCAGACCGGCGGAGCGACGGAGACAGCACCUGGAUGCAUAUCGUUCCGUCCUUUAGAAGACGCGGACAACUCCUCUCACAGAACGCUGGG